rnacentral:rRNA from 1 species
CCUACGGGAGGCAGCAGUGAGGAAUAUUGGUCAAUGGACGCAAGUCUGAACCAGCCAUGCCGCGUGCAGGAAGACGGCUCUAUGAGUUGUAAACUGCUUUUGUACGAGGGUAAACGCAGAUACGCGUAUCUGUCUGAAAGUAUCUGACGAAUAAGGAUCGGCUAACUCCGUGCCAGCAGCCGCGGUAAUACGGAGGAUUCAAGCGUUAUCCGGAUUUAUUGGGUUUAAAGGGUGCGUAGGCGGUCGGAUAAGUUAGAGGUGAAAUCCCGGGGCUCAACGUCGGAAUUGCCUCUGAUACUGUUCGGCUAGAGAGUAGUUGCGGUAGGCGGAAUGUAUGGUGUAGCGGUGAAAUGCAUAGAGAUCAUACAGAACACCGAGUGCGAAGGCAGCUUACCAAGCUCAUACUGACGUUGAGGCACGAAAGCGUGGGGAGCGAACAGGAUUAGAUACCCCUGUAGUC